rnacentral:rRNA from 1 species
UACGUAGGGUGCAAGCGUUAAUCGGAAUUACUGGGCGUAAAGCGUGCGCAGGCGGUUUUGUAAGUCUGCCGUGAAAGCCCCGGGCUCAACCUGGGAAUUGCGAUGGAGACUGCAAGGCUAGAAUCUGGCAGAGGGGGGGUAGAAUUCCACGUGUAGCAGUGAAAUGCGUAGAGAUGUGGAGGAAUACCGAUGGCGAAGGCAGCCCCCCUGGGAUAACACUGACGCUCAUG